ensembl:lncRNA
CUUAACUUUUCUCUCCACUUGCUUAACAUGUUGUUCCAGUCUAUACCUGUCCAGCAACUCCAGGGUGUGCCUACGUCAUAAAUUCAGACAGAGCAGAGAGUUUCUUCAGAAGUGGACUUAUCAAAGCAACAGGUAGGACAUAAUACAAUAAUUAUUUCAGCAAGAGAAGUUUUAAAAUCUUGGUUGCUAGUGAUAUACGAAUAUAUGACAUAAUACAAUAAUCAUUUUUAGUUAUGAUUGUUCACCAAGAGAAGUUUUAAAAUCUUGGUUGCUAGUGAUAUACGAAUAUAUGUGGACUGUGGAACUAUGGACCAAUUAAAGUUACACAAAAUUAGAACAAAAUGCAUGCUUCAUAUUUUAGUUAAACAGUCUUUUUUUCAUGCACUUUUAGUGUUGUUAAUUUGAAGAACAAUGGCAGAUACAAACCCAGAUAAAAUCCCUCAGUGCGAAAAGAGCAAACCAUGCCACGGUGAAGGCAAGGGUGAAGGCAAGGGUGAAGGCAAGGGAAAAGGACCAGGACAAGGGCAAGGUCAAGGCAAGGGUCAGGGUCAUGGUCACGGACACGGUCACGGACCUGGAAAGGAUGGAAAGGAUGGCAAAGGCAAACCAUAAUGACAAGGAGCUGAAUGAAGAGACGUCUGAAGUCUGUCUGAUGCUGUUUUUUUCUUGCACCAUGACUAUAAACUAAAACAUGUAUAAUUAUACCACAUAUGUUUGUUUUUAAUUAAAUGAUCAUCAAUAAAGUGUUUGGUAUCAAAGAAUGGCUUUUAGAAUCGUUGACUCCUUAAGCUUUGAAAUUCCAAAUAUAAAACGAAAUGAAGUAGCUGUGGCAAGGUGUGCAAGUUUACACAGCAAGAAGGUGUAUAUGCUGAAACAAUGUUAAAUCAGGAAAUAAGACCUACUUGGUUUAUGAAUGUUAUCUUUUGUAAAGAAUACUGGUUAAGCAAUACAUGCAAGGUGUAGAUUCAACCAUUAAACACACAUAACUAAAACAUUUUUAUAUGUUUAAGGAGCAAGAAUGGCUCAGAGAAAUUUACA